rnacentral:rRNA from 1 species
AGUGAACGCUGGCGGUAGGCCUAACACAUGCAGGUCGAACGGCAGCACAGUAAGAGCUUGCUCUUACGGGUGGCGAGUGGCGGACGGGUGAGGAAUACAUCGGAAUCUACUUUUUCGUGGGGGAUAACGUAGGGAAACUUACGCUAAUACCGCAUACGACCUACGGGUGAAAGCAGGGGAUCUUCGGACCUUGCGCGAUUGAAUGAGUCGAUGUCGGAUUAGCUAGUUGGCGGGGUAAAGGCCCACCAAGGCGACGAUCCGUAGCUGGUCUGAGAGGAUGAUCAGCCACACUGGAACUGAGACACGGUCCAGACACCUACGGGAGGCAGCAGUGGGGAAUAUUGGACAAUGGGCGCAAGCCUGAUCCAGCCCUACCGCGUGGGUGAAGAAGGCCUUCGGGUUGUAAAGCCCUUUUGUUGGGAAAGAAAAGCAGCAGGUUAAUACCCCGCUGUUCUGACGUUACCCAAAGAAUAAGCACCGGCUAACUUCGUG